rnacentral:rRNA from 1 species
UACGGGGGGGGCAAGCGUUGUUCGGAAUUACUGGGCGUAAAGGGCUCGUAGGCGGCCAACUAAGUCAGACGUGAAAUCCCUCGGCUUAACCGGGGAACUGCGUCUGAUACUGGUUGGCUUGAAUCCGGGAGAGGGAUGUGGAAUUCCAGGUGUAGCGGUGAAAUGCGUAGAUAUCGAGAGGAACACCUGCGGCGAAGGCGGGUUGCUGGGCCGACACUGACGCUGAUGCGCGAAAGCCAGGGGAGCGAACGGG